rnacentral:rRNA from 1 species
GAGAUUCCCCCAGUAGCGGCGAGCGAACGGGGAGCAGCCCAGAGCCUGAAUCAGUAUGUGUGUUAGUGGAAGCGUCUGGAAAGGCGCGCGAUACAGGGUGACAGCCCCGUACACAAAAAUGCACAUACUGUGAGCUCGAUGAGUAGGGCGGGACACGUGGUAUCCUGUCUGAAUAUGGGGGGACCAUCCUCCAAGGCUAAAUACUCCUGACUGACCGAUAGUGAACCAGUACCGUGAGGGAAAGGCGAAAAGAA